GUUCCUGGGAGGAAUUUAGGAGAAGACUCUCGAAGCCAGUCGCUUCUUCCGCCUCUAUCUCUCCUCUCAAAGCGAUAAACGCAACCUACCGCUGAAUGAACUCGAGAAUUUUCGGCAUGACGGUUGUUCGUAUCCGGUGAGAAGCUUAAGCUUUUGUGCGGCAUUCGUAGCAGCUUGUUUUCGGCGCCGGCGUGCGCAUUUGGAGUGUUUGGUUUGCCGGCUUGGAAGUGCUUUUGGAAGCUGUGUUGUUGUAUCAGCUUUUGCACAGCUGAUGGUAGCUGCCUGCAUUGUUGUUGUUUUUGGCUUAUUGUAAUUGUAAAACCGAGUAUGGGCUUAAUGGAUUUAGAUGAUGGUUUAUGUAUUCUGACUAAGAUGGAUUUAAAUAAAAAUGGCCUAAUGGACUUUGACUAA